UUCGUAUUUUCGCCAUUGUUAUUGCUGCCUCAGCCAGCGGCGACGUCGACUGCGACGGGCGCAGAACCGCUCAACUUACUCAAUAAAAUUUUUAUUAUGAUAUCUUCGCGCCCGAAAAUGUCGAAAAAUGUCGACGUUUCGCUGGCCAUUGGAUAUAAAUUGCCGGUGGGUUCGGCUUCCGUUCUUAUCGCCGUAGAGCCGCUCACCGGAUGACGUAUUCGUCAGAUUUGCUAAAAGAGAGUUCGGUCGAAGGAAGCCAGGAGUUGCCAGACACCAAGCAAGAUGAGCAAGCAUGGUGUAAAAACAUAUGGAGUAUGUUAUAAAAUAGAUUUUAAAUCGGAUUGAAAUAUAAUUUUCUUUUUCUUC